CGUCGCACGCAUUUCAAAUUCCAGCUAAUCUCAGUCGAACCAACGCUCGCGCGGCACACGGGUGUAUUUUUUGUGUAGUGGCCCUGUGCUCGCCGUUCCAGCCACCAUGAGUCGUCGAAUCGACGAAGAUACGAUUCGUCACCUGUUAUGUGAUGAUAAUAGUGACGAAGAAACUUCUACUUCUACACAUGAGCCUGAUCAAAGAGAAGAUGCCGAUAAUCUUUCUAUGCCUAAAAAAAGAAAACUUUGUGCAAUUUGCCCCUCCGCAAGACGAAGAAUCACAAAGAGUCGUUGCACUAAGUGCAACAAAUCCUUGUGUGGCGAACACAAACUUGACAUUUGUCACAAAUGUAUUAAUUGAUAGUUUUUUUAUAAAAUGUUGUUUUCU